rnacentral:rRNA from 1 species
UACAGAGGGUGCGAGCGUUGUCCGGAAUCACUGGGCGUAAAGGGCGCGUAGGCGGUCCGGUAAGCGUGCGGUGAAAGCCCGGGGCUCAACCCCGGGUCGGCCGUGCGAACUGGGGGGCUUGAGCACUGUAGAGGCAGGCGGAAUUCCGGGUGUAGCGGUGGAAUGCGUAGAGAUCCGGAAGAACACCGAUGGCGAAGGCAGCCCCCUGGGCUAACACUGACGCUCAGGCACGAAAGCGUGGGGAGCAAACAGG